rnacentral:tRNA from 3 species
GCGGGUGUAGCUCAGCUGGCUAGAGCAUCUGCUUGCCAUGCAGAAGGUCGUGGGUUCGAAUCCCAUCACCCGCUCCA